rnacentral:rRNA from 1 species
CACGUAGGGUGCGAGCGUUGUCCGGAAUUAUUGGGCGUAAAGAGCUCGUAGGCGGUUUGUCGCGUCUGCCGUGAAAACCCGAGGCUUAACCUCGUGGCUUGCGGUGGAUACGGGCAGACUAGAGGUAGGUAGGGGGAGAACGGAAUUCCCGGUGUAGCGGUGAAAUGCGCAGAUAUCGGGAGGAACACCGGUGGCGAAGGCGGUUCUCUGGGCCUUACCUGACGCUGAGGAGCGAAAGCAUGGGGAGCGAACAGG